AGCCUUGUGACUGACGAUCGGACA
rnacentral:miRNA from 1 species